UAGAUGUUGGAUGAAUAUAAUAAUCAUAUCCAAAAAGAUGAGGAAAUCAAACUGCAGAUGGAUGGAUUCUGUGCUUAUGAUCAAGGUUGUCUUAUGUGUAAGGGUAUGAAAAAGGCACGAAGGUAGCAACUCCUGGUCAAGACUGAAGUGCAAAAAGCAAUUGGAUGAACUGAAAGAGCAAACUGAAAAUUUUGGAUCAAAGGCUUUAAUUGGUGAAGGAUCUUAUGGAAGAGUGUACUUCGCGAAUCUAAAUGAUGGUAAAUCUGUAGCUGUGCAAAAGCUAGAUGUUUCAUCUGAAUAAGAUUCAAAUGCUGAGUUCCUGACUCAAGGGCCAACCACCUGUAAUACACCGGGAUAUCAGAUCCGGCAAUGUCUUUCUGUUUGAAGAAUUUAAAGCAAAGAUUGCAGAUUUUAACCUUUCAAAUCAAGCUCCUGAUAUGGCUAUCAUGCACCAGACUGGCUGCUGUUGCGGCAUUGUGUGUACAGUAUGAGGCAGAGUUCUGUCCAAAUACGAGCAUCUUUGUGAAGGCCCUUCAGCCACUCUUGAAGUCUUCUGCCCCUGCUCCAGAAUUCCCAGAAAUAUAAUCCUAAAAUACCAUUUAUUGCUUGGUCUGAGGGAAUUUCUACAACCGGCCUGUUGCACAGUUUAGUCGUUUGCAGGAGAAUUGCAUAUAGUAUUUAAAAGUUAAUAUUUGUUUUCGUUUUUCUUCAAAUAAGAGAUUGCAAUUGAUGGUUUUAUUCCUUUGGGUUCACUUUGUCGCAGUACUAGAUUGUUACUGAGGUUUUCCAAGUCAUUAAUCAAUUACUGAUGUUGAGCGGUGAGAUUGGUUUGCUGGGGUUGUUUCCUUCAGUACUGAGAACCGAGAUUUUCCAAGUCAUCUGUCAUUUAUCAACGAGCUGUGAGAGGUGAUAUUUCCGUUUGGAACUCUGAUGUAUAUUUUGUAAAAUUAUUUUGAGUUUAUGGAUCUGGUGAAACUUUGUUUUGAUUAAUCUAUAUUUGUUUGUGUUUAA